rnacentral:rRNA from 1 species
AGACCGAUAGCGAACAAGUAGAGAGACCGAUAGCGAACAAGCACUUUGAAAAGAGAGUUAAACAGCACGUGAAAUUGUUGAAAGGGAAGCGCUUGCGACCAGACUCGCCCGCGGGGGUUCAGCCGGUACUCGUACCGGUGUACUCCCCCGGGGGCGGGCCAGCGUCGGUUUGGGCGGUCGGUCAAAGGCCUCCGGAAUGUGUCGCCCCCCGGGGCGUCUUAUAGCCGGAGGUGCAAUGCGGCCAGCCUGGACCGAGGAACGCGCUUCGGCUCGGACGCUGGCGUAAUGGUCGUAAGCGGCCCGUCUUGAAACACGGACCAAG